UCUCCGUUGGUGAACCAGCGGAGGGAUCAUUACAGAGUUGCAAAACUCCCAAACCAUUGUGAACGUUACUAAUCCCGUUGCUCCGGCCGGCGGCCCGGGCCCCGCCCUCGCCUCCCCCCGACCCCCCCGGCCGCCCCGCCAGCGGACAACCAACCCCGUGAAUUGCCUCUCCGCUGCGUGUCUUCUGUACUGCAAAACUCAAAACUUUCAACAACGGGUCUCUUGCUUCUAGCAUCAAUGCAGAAGACCGCAGGUCCACAGAGCACACGUCUAAACUCC
rnacentral:misc_RNA from 1 species